AAAAUAUUUAGACAAGUACUUGAGUAUUGCAGGGCUAUACAUAAUAGGUAAAACUUUAAAAAAAAAGCUAAAUAUCCAUCAAUUAGAAGCUGUUAAACAAAUAGGCAAAUUGUAAUUCAUGUUCACAAUGAAAGGAUGUGCAUCUCAUAAACAAAAUGAUACAAGUUUCUGCUUCCAGAGUCAUAUAGGAAGGUAUUCAAGAUAAAUUCAUUAAGUGAAAAAAGCAGCUACAUACCAGCAUGCAUGCUGUUUUGCAAAUGAUCCCAUUUUGUGAAAAGAAUCAUGUAUUUAUUUAAUAGUGAUUUUACAAGCUAAUGUGCAUUGAGAACUUACUAUUUUCCAGCCCCUGUGCCACAUUAUAGGAUUAUUUUAGUAUCGUCCCAGUUUUCCAGACUAGGAAGUUGAGGCACAGAGUGGUUAUGUAAUUUGCCCAAGAGAUCAUACAGCUAAAAGAGACAGAACUGGGAUUUCAACCAGGUUUGUGGGAUUUUCAAGCCCAAAGCCCUUACUCACUGCACUGCUCUCCACCCAGGAAGACAACAUACCCAACACCAGCACAUUAAUAUGGAUUCCGAUUGUGUGGUGGAAUGAUGGGGAAUUGUUUUUUGUUAUGCUUCCGUGUAGCUUUUCCUUUUUUCUAUAAGAUGUAUUACCUGGAGCUCUUUUCAUAAGUUCCGGAACAAAUCAUAAAAAAGAUGGGGAAAAAAAUGCAACAAUGAGCAGAAUUUUCUGGAUCUGGGCCCAGAUAUCCAUCAUCAUCUGGCUGUGUAAUGCUGUCUGCUUACUCUGCUACUACCCUGGGAGACUGUUUCUAGUUACCUUCUCUACAUUUCUUUCUGCAUUUGCUUGUGCCUGGCUUACACUGAGAGUGCAAUCUGUCUCAUUUUGUCGAGCCUUCUUGCCUUGAUAAACUUCCCUUGUAAUAAUAUCUUCUACUUUAUUGUAGAUUGUAUUUUCCAAAGAUGGUGAUAACAGUAUCUCCCAUCCCACAUGCUGUGAAUAUAUGACUUUGCCACUCCUGUAUAAAG
rnacentral:lncRNA from 1 species